rnacentral:rRNA from 1 species
GAUGAACGCUAGCGAUAGGCCUAACACAUGCAAGUCGAGGGGCAUCACAUGAGGCAGCAAUGCCGAUGGUGGCGACCGGCGCACGGGUGAGUAACACGUAUGCAACCUGCCUUCAACAAGGGGAUAACCCGUUGAAAAACGGACUAAUACCCUAUAACACAGGGGUCCCGCAUGGGAAUAUUUGUUAAAGGACAACCGGUUGAAGAUGGGCAUGCGUUCCAUUAGCUAGUUGGCGGGGUAACGGCCCACCAAGGCAACGAUGGAUAGGGGAACUGAGAGGUUUAUCCCCCACACUGGUACUGAGACACGGACCAGACUCCUACGGGAGGCAGCAGUGAGGAAUAUUGGUCAAUGGACGCAAGUCUGAACCAGCCACGUCGCGUGAAGGAAGACGGCCCUACGGGUUGUAAACUUCUUUUAUACGGGAAUAAAGUGCCCCACGCGUGGGGUUUUGCAUGUACCGUAUGAAUAAGGAUCGGCUAACUACGUGCCAGCAGCCGCGGUAAAUACGC